rnacentral:rRNA from 1 species
AAGUCGAGCGAGCAGACGAGGAGCUUGCUCCUCUGACGUUAGCGGCGGACGGGUGAGUAACACGUGGAUAACCUACCUAUAAGACUGGGAUAACUUCGGGAAACCGGAGCUAAUACCGGAUAAUAUAUUGAACCGCAUGGUUCAAUAGUGAAAGACGGUUUUGCUGUCACUUAUAGAUGGAUCCGCGCCGCAUUAGCUAGUUGGUAAGGUAACGGCUUACCAAGGCAACGAUGCGUAGCCGACCUGAGAGGGUGAUCGGCCACACUGGAACUGAGACACGGUCCAGACUCCUACGGGAGGCAGCAGUAGGGAAUCUUCCGCAAUGGGCGAAAGCCUGACGGAGCAACGCCGCGUGAGUGAUGAAGGUCUUCGGAUCGUAAAACUCUGUUAUUAGGGAAGAACAAAUGUGUAAGUAACUAUGCACGUCUUGACGGUACCUAAUCAGAAAGCCACGGCUAACUACGUGCCAGCAGCCGCGGUAAUACGUAGGUGGCAAGCGUUAUCCGGAAUUAUUGGGCGUAAAGCGCGCGUAGGCGGUUUUUUAAGUCUGAUGUGAAAGCCCACGGCUCAACCGUGGAGGGUCAUUGGAAGCUGGAAAACUUGAGUGCAGAAGAGGAAAGUGGAAUUCCAUGUGUAGCGGUGAAAUGCGCAGAGAUAUGGAGGAACACCAGUGGCGAAGGCGACUUUCUGGUCUGUAA